UGCAUGGUCCAAAUUUCUUUUGUCCUUUUUGUCCUUUUUAUUUGUUGGUAAUUUGUCUGUUAUACCAAAUCUUGCUAGCGACAUUUUCGGUCACUGACCGAUGGGCUCACUUAUACAAACUGAAAAUCGAAAUAGUACUCUGUAAUCCUUCAGAUAGAACAAUGUAUAAUACAUGUUGUACAUCAUGCAUACCAAUUAUUGGAUGAAUUACCUCAAUAAAGAACGUUUUGUGUGGAUCUCACUUGUGGGACCAUCUUUCUCUAUCGAUGAAUGGAUACACAUGGAUGUAUGGUUGAAGACUAUACCAUUGGUGCCCCUUUGGAUAAAAGUAGAGCUGGUCUGACCAUUUAAACUUUUCUUUCAUCAUUAUGUGUUUUUACACCUUAUAGAUUUGAUGAACUUUAACCAUUUUUGCUUUUAGCCCUGUUUGAGGGAUACCAUUCCGAUGAUAAAAAUGCAAUUGCCAAAGUAAUUUUCAGUCUGUCCAGAUACAUAAGGAUCCAUCAAAGGGAUGUUUCAGAUCAUCAAAAUAUACAAUCAUUUGUGCUUGGCUUGUCCAUAAUUGCUUGAGCCAAGAAAUGGACCUCAACCACUAAUUAUCCUUAUAUCGAAUGCUUACAAAGAUGCAUUGAGGUCGGAAAGCCUUGAGCUUGUGCAACCCAGCUCUCUUACAAUCCAACACAAGCCUGGAUAGAAGGCGUGCAAUAUCCAAGGUUUCCAUCAGGUGGUUCCCCACUUCUUGAUGCCAUGGUUCAAAAAUCAGGCAAGUCCACUCCAUAUGCUUAUUCAAAGUAGAAGUAACUAUAUAGAGUGUAGGCUCAGGGGUCCACAAUGCUUACAUGGAUGCAUGAUCAAAGCUGCUCAUCAGUUUUAUCCUUGAAGAAAAAGGGAAGAAAAAUCUGUCCACAUAUUUAUAUACAAAAAAUUCCAUAGCUCUUCUCCUCCAUCUGCUAGUUACAGGUGGAGCAUUAGUAACAGAGGGGGGCUUUGCUGCUUCAUAUGAGGAUGGAUAUGGACUUCAUUCGUGUGGUGCUGACAAAGGUCCUCUAUAUGGCAUGAGUUCUAGUUCUUAGGGUGCAUUUAAGAAGUCUCGCCUCGAGCGUCGCUGAAGUCCGUUGAUUUUUUAUUUUUUUUCUUGUACUUUUCCUUGUGUCUCAAUCUGUAAAUUUUCUAUCUAUCAUGUAACCUUUCAUUCUCAGGCCCCCUGUAAAUGAGGCUGGUUGUAAAUGAUUUACAAGUUGUGUUUGAAUGCUAAUUUAAUCUUGUAAAGGUCUUUUGAUUUAGAAGAUUCAGCCUAGUAGAAUUUUUAA